rnacentral:tRNA from 1 species
CAGAAUGUAGCUUAUUUAAAGUAAUUUAUUUACAUUAAAUUGAAAAUAUAUUUUAUUCUUUCUGA